rnacentral:tRNA from 1 species
GCGAGUGUGCUGGAAUAGGAAGACAGGCACGUUUGAGGGGCGUGUGUCGAAGGACGUAUGGGUUCAAGUCCCAUUACUCGCACCA